rnacentral:rRNA from 1 species
UAAUACGUAGGGUGCUAGCGUUAAUCGGAAUUACUGGGCGUAAAGGGUGCGCAGGCGGUUUUGUAAGUCAGAUGUGAAAUCCCCGGGCUUAACCUGGGAAUUGCGUUUGAAACUACAAAACUAGAGUGUAGCAGAGGGAGGUGGAAUUUCAUGUGUAGCAGUGAAAUGCGUAGAGAUAUGGAAGAACAUCGAUGGCGAAGGCAGCCUCCUGGGUUAACACUGACGCUCAUGCACGAAAGCGUGGGGAGCAAACAGGAUUAGAUACCCUGGUAGUCCACGCCCUAAACUAUGUCAACUAGUUGUUGGGCUUUAAAAAGCUUGGUAACGUAGCUAACGCGUGAAGUUGACCGCCUGGGGAGUACGGUCGCAAGAUUAAAACUCAAAGGAAUUGACGG